ACGGAAGGCAGCAGUGGGGAAUAUUGGGCAAUGGGCGAAAGCCUGACCCAGCAACGCCGCGUGAAGGAAGAAGGUCUUCGGAUUGUAAACUUCUUUUAUGAGGGACGAAGGACGUGACGGUACCUCAUGAAUAAGCCACGGCUAACUACGUGCCAGCAGCCGCGGUAAUACGUUGGUGGCAAGCGUUAUCCGGAUUUACUGGGUGUAAAGGGCGCGUAGGCGGGGAUGCAAGUCAGAUGUGAAAUCUAUGGGCUUAACUCAUAAACUGCAUUUGAAACUGUGUCUCUUGAGUGUCGGAGAGGUAGAUGGAAUUCCUUGUGUAGCGGUGAAAUGCGUAGAUAUAAGGAGGAACACCAGUGGCGAAGGCGGCUUACUGGACGAUAACUGACGUUGAGGCUCGAAAGCGUGGGGAGCAAACAGGAUUAGAUACCCUGGUA
rnacentral:rRNA from 1 species